ACCGGCUGACGAGUCCCAAAUAGGACGAAACGCGCGUCCUGAAU
rnacentral:hammerhead_ribozyme from 1 species